rnacentral:rRNA from 1 species
UAUGUAAUGCCAGCAGCCGCGGUAAUACGGAAGGUCCGGGCGUUAUCCGGAUUUAUUGGGUUUAAAGGGAGCGUAGGCCGGAGAUUAAGCGUGUUGUGAAAUGUAGACGCUCAACGUCUGCACUGCAGCGCGAACUGGUUUCCUUGAGUACGCACAAAGUGGGCGGAAUUCGUGGUGUAGCGGUGAAAUGCUUAGAUAUCACGAAGAACUCCGAUUGCGAAGGCAGCUCACUGGAGCGCAACUGACGCUGAAGCUCGAAAGUGCGGGUAUCGAACAGG